CCAACCUUAGCUCAGUUGGUAGAGCGGAGGACUGUAGUUAUCCUUAAGUUGUUGGUUYGAAUCCAACAAGUCRGA
rnacentral:tRNA from 1 species